GCUGGGUAUUGUGGCACAUGCCUGUAAUCCCAGGGACUGGGAAAGCUGAGGCAGGAGGAUUGCAAGUUUGAGGCUAGUCUGGGCAAAUUAGCAAGACCCUGUCUCCA
rnacentral:sRNA from 1 species